UAAAAUUAAUUAAACAUACUAAAUGAUUAAUCAAAUAUAUAAACAUGCCUAAUAUUUAACAUGCUACCAAAUAUAUUAAUAUGCUGUCAUGCUCAGUGUCAAAUAAUGUACUAACGUGCUUGAGGUCAAAUAAUGUAGUAAUAUACUUGAUGUCAAAUAUGCUAAUAUGUAUUAAUGUCUUAUUUUAACAUGUUAAUAUGUUGGAAUCAAUAUGGAUGUCUAAAAUAUUGAAAAAUGACUUUGGUGCUCAAGAUGCGUGGUAAACCAGAUUCAUUAAUUUCCAUGUUGCCAAAACUUAAGUCAAUAUGUAAAAAUUAAUUAAAAAUUCCUAAAGCAUGAUUUCUAGGCGGCCAAGCAAGUAAAUUAAUAAAUUUUAAAUCGCGUUAAGCCUAAGCAUUUCAUAUAGCAUAUAAGACACGUAAAAACCUAAAUUGUGCCAACUACUUCGUUCAUAGAGCACGUAAUACCCCGCCCCCAAAGCAGUCCCCCAAUUAUUAUUAUUACAUCAUGAAUAAUGCCCUUACAGAGAUUAUUACAAACUGAAUAAUACAGAUUAAGGGAAAAGCAACCAGCUAAUACAUAAUUUAACAACCCAGCGACUCUUCAGAACCUUGCGUGUACUUAAACCUGCGGAACAAUACAUAACAACAAACAAGAAAAAACAUCGACAUAUUUUGUAGGCAGGUUCGUAAAGGUUUCAAACAACAUGAUACAGUCAGCACCCACACAGUAAAAUUAAAAAAAUUACAUCGAUGGGAGACUCACCGGUAAGAGCAGUAGCAGGAUAAUAAAGCAAAGUGUGAACUAUGCAGGAUGUUUUAGUGAGUUUCGAAGGAAACCCCAAACUCUUGAAAAUAUGCAGUUGACUUGUAUUAAAGUAACAGGUAAAAAUUUCUUUUGUUUAUUGUAGAAAGUAGUAAUAGUAGUAGUCGUAAUUGUGGACUUGAAAAGUGUAAAACUCAAGAGCUGUGAACUUAUUUUUUAAUAAUAAUAAAAAAAAGAGUUGUUUAUAUAGAGAAGAGGCCGUGAAUUAAGGUCCAAUUAGCCACCACGAAAAAGGAAAAGCAAUAUUUUGAAAAUCAAUCCCAAUUGAUCAGGUAAAAGGAAAGAAAUAUUUUCAAAAUUAUCAGAAUCAAUUAAUGGGCCAAUCAAUCAGUCAAUCAUCCACAAAUCAGUCCAAAGAUAACAGAGCAUGUGUUUAGCAAAAUCAAUUAACAAUAAUUAAUUUUCUUAAGUUAAGCAAGUAGAAAUCAAUUAAAAUCAAGUUUACCAUAAAUAGGGAAGUAUCAAAUUUGUCAAAAUUAAUCAAGAGAUUAGCAAACAAACAAUCUAUAGUGAUUAGUAAUAAGCAUCUUGUUAGAAAAUUAAAACCAAGUCACAAAAUAAGUUGGGAUUUUCUUACACAUGUUAACUAAGAGGCAUAAAAAAAAUGUCAAGUUGCAAGAAAUUAGGCGUUUUCACAUAUAACAGACCCAGAGAUGAACAUGAACAAAUAAUAACAUGAAUUUAAUCACAAUCCAAAGUUACAUAUCACGAAAAUUUAAUUUAAAGAAAACAAACAAGCAAUUUGAGUUUAGGGAGAUCAAACCGAAUAAUAGUUGAAUCUGGGGGUGGCGUGUCGUUGGUAUUUCUCGACUGUUGGAGAUGGAGGCCGGAUCUGAGCGAGGGGAAGGCUGGUCAUCGCUGGGGUUGGUUCGUGGAGGGGGUUGGAGAGUGGAGCGGCGCUAGCAUGCUGGUGUUGGUGCUGAUGUUGUGAUGGGCAGCGGCGACGGAUCUGCUGGGGCGGGGCAGCGACUUGAUGACGGCUUGGAAUGACGGAGCUCCGAAGACUGAGUCCCUCAUGGAGCCGGAGAAAAAAGAUAAUGGAGGAGGCUGUUGACACGGGGGAAGAGAGGAGGAAGGGGAGUGGUGGAGCGGCGGCAAAGCAGCUCCACUGUCGUUGAUCUUAGAGAGCGAGAGAGAGGAAGAGUUGAGGGGGAGACUGUUUUUG
rnacentral:lncRNA from 1 species